GAUGAACGCUAGCUACAGGCUUAACACAUGCAAGUCGCGGGGCAGCAUGGGGGUUGCUUGCAAUCCCCGAUGGCGACCGGCGCACGGGUGAGUAACGCGUAUCCAACCUGCCCUUCACCACGGGAUAACCCGGCGAAAGUCGGACUAAUACCGUAUGUUGUCCAUUGACGGCAUCCGAUUUGGACGAAAGGUUUGGCGGUGAAGGAUGGGGAUGCGUCCGCUUAGCUGGACGGCGGGGUGACGGCCCACCGUGGCGACGAGCGGUAGGGGUGGUGGGAGGAAGGUCCCCCACACGGGAGCUGGGACACGGACCCGACGCCUACGGGAGGCAGCAGUGAGGAAUAUUGGGCAAUGGGCGUAAGCCUGAGCCAGCCAAGUAGCGUGCAGGAUGACGGCGCUAUGGGUUGUAAACUGCUUUUAUGCGGGGAUAAAGUGGCCCCCGGGUGGGUUUUUGCAGGUACCGCAUGAAUAAGGACCGGCUAAUUCCGUG
rnacentral:rRNA from 1 species